UAUCCUACAGGUUCGGUAAGCACAUCACCAAACCACUCAACAAUCCCCCAAAUUUCACAACUUUUGCGCCUUUCAAGCGCAAUCUCUGCACACCGAAUCAUCUUCUUAUAGCCGCUAUCAGGUCCACGAGAAGGCAACUCCUCCUCCCACAAAACCGUUAAUUUUCCUCCAUAAUCAGCCAACUUAACAUUGGCACCAGAACCGAACAUAGGCACCACAUGGAACUCUCCGUCAAUGCAUGCGGUUCCGCAUCCGUAAAAAUCGCCUUCCGUCUUGCUGCAAGUAAUGGUAUCAGGAUCCCAAAAUUGUGUUUCAGUGUCAAACACCUCGAACGAAUUCUUAUAGGUGUAAGAAUCACCAUCCAAGCAACUUCCUGCUACGUAUAUCUUUCGAUCAAGGACACUAGAAGAAACAGAACAUAGCCCCUCACGCAAGCUUGGAGCCUCGCGCCACGUGUGAGACCGACAAUCAAGAAUGGAGACGCUUGAAGAGGACUCUAGGUAGCUGGAUCCUGCAAUGUUAUAGAUAUUAGAACCAACAGCUACGAGACUAGAAGAGUGCAAAGGAGGAGAAUGUAAAUUUGAGACUCUAGCCAAAACAUACCCGCUUGACUUCUUGAUGGUGCCAUUGGUUAGGGUUUGA